rnacentral:rRNA from 1 species
UACAGAGGUCCCGAGCGUUGUUCGGAUUCAUUGGGCGUAAAGGGUGCGUAGGUGGCGCCGUAAGUGGGGUGUGAAAUCCCGGGGCUUAACCCCGGGACUGCAUUCCAUACUGCGGUGCUUGAGGACUGGAGAGGAGACUGGAAUUUACGGUGUAGCAGUGAAAUGCGUAGAGAUCGUAAGGAAGACCAGUGGCGAAGGCGGGUCUCUGGACAGUUCCUGACGCUGAGGCACGAAGGCCAGGGGAGCAAACGGG